CAGCAGCCACGGGAAUACCGAGGGUGCAAGCGUUAAUCGGAAUUACUGGGCGUAAAGCGCGCGUAGGUGGUUUGUUAAGUUGGAUGUGAAAUCCCCGGGCUCAACCUGGGAACUGCAUCCAAAACUGGCAAGCUAGAGUAUGGUAGAGGGUGGUGGAAUUUCCUGUGUAGCGGUGAAAUGCGUAGAUAUAGGAAGGAACACCAGUGGCGAAGGCGACCACCUGGACUGAUACUGACACUGAGGUGCGAAAGCGUGGGGAGCAAACAGGAUUAGAUACCCGCGUAGUCCCUGUCUCUUAUAC
rnacentral:rRNA from 1 species